rnacentral:rRNA from 1 species
AGUUCGAUUCUGGCUCAGAUUGAACGCUGGCGGGAUGCUUUACACAUGCAAGUCAGACGGCAGCACGGACUUCGAUGCGGUGGCGAGUGGCGAACGGGUGAGUAAUGUAUCGGGCGGUGCCUAGUAGCGGGGGAUAACUACGCGAAAGCGUAGCUAAUACCGCAUACGCCCUUCGGGGAAAGCGGGGGACCUUCGGGCCUCGCACUAUUAGAGCGACCGAUAUCGGUUAGCUCAGUUGGUGGGGUAACAGCUCACCAAGGCGACGAUCCAUAGCUGGUUUUGAGAGGACGACCAGCCACUGGGACUGAGACACGGCCCAGAUACGGGGAGGCAGCAGUGGGGAAUUUUGGACAAUGGGGGAAACCCUGAUCCAGCCAUCCCGCGUGUGCGAUGAAGGCCUUCGGGUUGUAAAGCACUUUUGGCAGGAAAGAAGCAGCUGCGGAUAAUACCCGUGCAACAGCAGGCCUGCAGAAUAAGCACCGGCUAACUACGUGCCAGCAGCAGUAUGCAGCGGGUGCAAGCAUUAAUCGGAAUUACUGGGCGUAAAGCGUGCGCAGCGGUUCGAGAAGAAAGAUGUGAAAUCUGAGCUUAACUUUGGAACUGCCGCACCUUUCACCGGGCUAGAGGUGUUAGAGGAGGUGGAAUUCCGCGUGUAGCAGUGAAAUGCGUAGAUAUGCGGAGGAACACGAUGGCGAAGGCAGCCUCCUGGGAUAACACUGACGCUCAUGCACGAAAGCGUGGGGAGCAAACAGGAUUAGAUACCCUGGUAUUCACGCCCUAAACGAUGUCAACUAGCUGUUGGGGCCUUCGGGCCUUGGUAGCGCAGCUAACGCGUGAAGUUGACCGCCUGGGAAAUACGGUCGCAAGAUUAAAACUCAAAGGAAUUGACGGGGACCCGCACAAGCGGUGGAUGAUGUGGAUUAAUUCGAUGCAACGCGAAAACCGCCCACCUACCCUUGACAUGUCUGGAAUGCCGAAGAGAUUUGGCAGUGCUCGCAAAAGAGAACCGGAACACAGGUGCUGCAUGGCUGUCGUCAGCUCGUGUCGUGAGAUGUUGGGUUAAGUCCCGCAACGAGCGCAACCCUUGUCAUUAGUUGCUACGAAAGGAGGCACUCUAAUGAGACUACUGGUGACCAAACUGGAGGAAGGUGGAUGGCGUCAGUCCUCAUGGCCCUUAUGGGUAGGGCUUCACACGUCAUACAAUGGUCGGGACAGAAAAUUCGUAACGCAGAGAGCCAAUCAAAACCCGAUCGUAGUCGGAUCGCAGUCUGCAACUCGACUGCGUGAAGUCGGAAUCGCUAAUAGUAAUCGCGGAUCGGCAUGUCCGCGGUGAAUACGUUCCCGGGUCUUGUACACACCGCCCGUCACACACCGCAGGUGGUUUACCAAGAAGUAGUUAGCCUAACCGCAAGGCGAUUACCACGGUAGGAUUCAUGACUGGGGUGAAGUCGUAACAAGGUAA